GACGAACGCUGGCGGCGUGCUUAACACAUGCAAGUCGAACGGAGUGGCGAACGGGUGAGUAACACGUGGGUGAUCUGCCUUGCACUUCGGGAUAAGCUUGGGAAACUGGGUCUAAUACCGGAUAGUGCAAGAUGAGCUCGCGGCCUAUCAGCUUGUUGGUGGGGUAAUGGCCUACCAAGGCGUCGACGGGUAGCCGGCCUGAGAGGGUGUACGGCCACAUUGGGACUGAGAUACGGCGCGUGCUCGUACGGGAGUCAGUAGUGAGGAAUAUUGAACAAUGUGCGGAAGCCUGAUGCAGCGACGCCGCGGGGGGGAGGAAGGCAUUCGGGUUGUAAACUCCUUUCGACAGGGACGCGGUACCUGGAUAAGAAGCACCGGCUAACUACGUGCCAGCAGCCGCGGUAAUAC
rnacentral:rRNA from 1 species